GGGGGGGGCUGUCGGCGGGCGGCAGGCCAGCUCGGUGCCCGGAGCCCGCAGUGAGGAGGCAGCGUGGGCAGCGGCCGCACUGACGGUGGUGUUGGCGCUACUGACCGUGGCCGUACUCUACACCCGCCUCUACCGUCGCUUUGUCCGGAGCCGCAGCCUCUACUGGACACCCGCCCACUGCAGCACCGAGAGCGUGGCAGAUAUAAUAAAGAGAAGAAUUGUCCGGUUUGGCAAGAGGAAAAAGCGGCCUCCGGUUAGGAAGACAUUCUCUGCCCCGUACAACGCACUCCCCAGUGAGAUUAGCGACUGACUGGAGCAAAGUGAUGGGUUCCAUCUGCCAGCUUGUCCAUGGUGUGAGUGGCUGUGAAGUGACUCGAAUUUGCAGCAGAGUUGGACCUGCACCUGGACAAAAACAAGACUGCAAUACUGGCCGUGGGCCCUGAACGAGCGUGAGGACUUCUAACGAUUUAUUUUACCACAAUCUUCCGUGACACGAUGCUUUGUUCCAAGAUUUACAUCGUACGUUCUGGAGUGAUCUACAGAUCAACCCUCUCUCCCUUGAGAGAAACAGGAAUGAAAUCGCACCCUUUUACAGUAGAAUGUAGAGUUGAUAUAAUGUCAUUGUGAACCGUGUCAAUUUUAAUCGAGUCGAGUGUGCCGUGGGUCAGAUUACAGGUACGUGGGUCAUUGUGCUAGUUUAUGGUUUACGAGGUUUAUACAAGAAUAUUUGGGCCACGGCCUCAGGGGUGGGUGUGGACUGAGCCCUCGUAUAAUUCCAGAUUUUAUAAUCUUGUAUAAUUAGGAUCAGAGGUCAAAGCCUCAGAAUUAAAGGACGUUCCUUUGGGAAAGAGAUGAGGAGGAAUUUAUUUAGUUAGAAGGUGGUGAAUCUGUGGAAUUCAUUGCCACAGAAGCUAGUGGAGGUCAAGUCAGUGGAUAUUUUUUAAGGCAGGGAUAGAUUUUGGAUCAGUACGGGUGUCAGGGGUUAUGGGGAGAAGGCAGGAGAAUGGGGUUAGGUGGGGGAGAUAGAUCAGCCAUGAUUGAAUGGCGGAGUAGACUUUAUGGGCUGAAUGGCCUAAUUCUGUUCCUAUCACUCAUGAGCAUGAAUUUAUAAUUUAAUCUUAAAACUGGUUUUGUGGGAGCUUAGUGCAGUUGGGUGGGAGGGAGGGGUGGGUAUGUGGACACCAGCUCGUUCUACAGGAUGUAUAGCUCAACAAACUACACCAGCAAUCAGUCUAGUUUAUUGUCACGUGUACCAAGGUACAGUGAGAUGUUUUUACUAACCAGUCAGCAGAAAGACAAUACAUGAUUACAAUCGAGCCAUUUACAGUGUAGAUGUACAUGUUAAGGGAAUAAUGUUUAGUGCAAGGUAAAGCCCGAUUAAAGAUAGUCCAAGGGACCCAAACUAGGUAGAUAGUAGUUCAGCACCGCUCUCUGGUUGUGGUGGGACGGUUCAGUUGCCUGAUAACAGCCGGAAGAAACUGUCCCUGAAUCUGGAGGUGUGUGUUUUCACACUUCUGUACCUCUUGCCCGAUGAGAGAGGGGAGAAGAGGGAGUGACCGGGGUGAGACUGGCCCUUGAUGAUGCUGCUGGCCUUGUCGAGGCAGCGUGAGGUGUCGAUGGAAGGGAGCAGGUGCAGUCUGUUUGGAGUUUGCACGUUCUCCCUGUGACCUCGUGGGUUUUCUCUGGGUGGUGCUCCGGUUUCCUCCCACAUUCCAAAGACGUGAGGGUUUGUAGGUUGAUUGGGGCUCUGUAAAUUGCCACUAGUGGAUGAGAAAGUGGGAUUAGAUAGAAGUGGUGUGAACAUGUGAUGGAUGGUCAGCAUGGACUCGGUGGGCCGAAGGGCCUGUUUCUGUGCUGUAUCCGCAAACUAAAACAAUUCCAAACUAAAAGCUGAGGUGGAGCAAGAGUAAUUUGUGCUGGACCAUGAGAUAUGAUGUAGAUCAAAGGGUGAAGUAGUUCGUACAAGAGAGAAUUUGUUACAAUAUAAAUGUCAGGGAUAAAAUAUCACAUAUUAAAAUAGUACUUGGAGCAAUAGGUCUAUGGUGUAAUUUGAUUCAGAGAAAGGUUUUUGUUACUACAGCCAAUUUAAUGAUGAGGUUUGAACGAUGCAAAUCAUAUGGUUUGAAGCACAUUGUGCAGUUUGCUAUUGACUUGCAUUGAAGUUAAUCUACAGUUAAUCUGAAAUCAGAGGAAGUUAAACAGGGAAACACAGGAAGGACAGGGAAAGUUGAUUCUUUUCUCAGAUUAGUCUAGAAUCACAAGGGAAUGUAUAAAACGCUAAAUUAUCGGUAUUCGGGAAGCAAUCUACAGAAGAUAGACACAAAACUCUGAAGUAUCUCAGCGGGACAGGCAGCAUCUCUGGAGAGAAGGGAUGAUGCUGCCUGUCCCUGACUUACUCCAGGUUUUUGUGUCUAUCUUCGGUUUAAACCCGUAUCUGCAGUUCCUUCCUGCACAUAGUCUACAGAAUUAGUGUGAUCUGGUAUCAGAACCAAUUGCUGAUCUUGUUGACGAAUGGGGAGUUUUUUUAAUGGGGAAAAUAUUUUAAAUGUUUACAAUUGUCACAGUUUUUGUAAGUUUUCAAAAACGAUUAAAAUUUUAGAAUUAA